rnacentral:rRNA from 1 species
UAAAGCGUGCGCAGGCGGUUUUGUAAGUCUGAUGUGAAAUCCCCGGGCUCAACCUGGGAAUUGCAUUGGAGACUGCAAGGCUAGAAUCUGGCAGAGGGGGGUAGAAUUCCACGUGUAGCAGUGAAAUGCGUAGAUAUGUGGAGGAACACCGAUGGCGAAGGCAGCCCCCUGGGUCAAGAUUGACGCUCAUGCACGAAAGCGUGGGGAGCAAACAGGAUUAGAUACCCUGU